rnacentral:rRNA from 1 species
GACGAACGCUGGCGGCGUGCUUAACACAUGCAAGUCGAGCGGUAAGGCCCUUUCGGGGUACGACGAGCGGCGAACGGGUAGGAGUAACAACGUGGGUGGACCUCGCCCUCCAGCUCUGGGAGUAAAGCCUCGGGAAACGUAGGGUCGUAAUAACUGGAGUAUGACUCCACGGUGCAUGUCGUGGGGUGGAAAGACCUUGUGCGGCUGAGGAUGGGCCCGCGGCCUAUCAGCUUGUUGGUGGGGUGAGGCCUACCAAGGCGACGACGGGUAGCCGGCCGUGAGA